UGAACACUUACAGAAGGAACAGGGAACAUAACAGUCGUACUCAGAACCUAAAGGUUUCCACUGAUCGCAUCUGAUGCUUGGAUGCGGUCCAGUGUAGCGCUGCGGGGUGGAUCAGACCACCUGUCUGCCUCUCCAAACUUCUUGGGGACAGAGGAGCUCCUCUGAUGUCGGCUCCUUUCUUCUCUUCUAAGAUUGAGCUGCCCUGUGCUCUUCCUGUUGGACAGCAGCUUGAUACUGGUAAAUAUAACGGAGAAGACACACACCUCGUCAUGAUAGCCAUGAGAUCAUUGUUCUUGAGACAUUCAGCCAAGUUAUCCAC